GUAUUCUUGCGCCCAUGAACUGCAUCCUGUCCGCUCUCCGACGUCGCCGCUCGCCCCAUCUUUAGGGCCUGGCUAGUCGCGGACGCGCGUUGCACCUCUCCAACGCACAGCAAGUUCGAAUCACGAAAGCCACGGCCAGUCCGUGGCUUUUUG
rnacentral:ncRNA from 1 species